AGUUGAGAUCGAGUCGAAAUUUCUGCAUUGACAUCAUUUUGCUGUGUGUUAUUUUGGGAAUUGCUGCCUACUUAUACAAUGUGUUGAAGAAGUGAAAGUCAUAUCAUGGCCUGGUGCGAUUGAACUGCAUGCAUCAUACCUUCGGUAUUCUCUUGCUCUGGCUGUGUCGGAUUAUUUGAUUGAUUGCGUAAUUGUGUUGGUGUUGUGUGCGUGUUUUCUAUUCUGUGAGCAUUUUACUUGCUGCAUUGAAGUACACUACAUAAUCGAGUAUAAAGGGUCUUCUGUAAUAUAAAUUCGACGUCAUUUGUUUUCUUUAUCUUGUAAACAUAUAAGCAUUCAUUCUUUCAUUCUUGUUAACUAUAUUAAAUCUUUUACAUA